rnacentral:ncRNA from 1 species
AACUUACAACGGCUACCUGAAGUAGGUUUAUUUAACAACGGAGCA